rnacentral:rRNA from 1 species
AGGAUGUAUGGCAAUAGCUGGUUGCAUUAAGUAAAAGUUAGUGUAAGAUCGACUCUGUCGAAUAAAAUUCUAGGUAGAGUUAUGAUAAUGACAUUAUCUAUCUAUGUGUCUUGACCAAAAUACGUGCCAGCAGUCGCGGUAAUACGUAAAAGACUAGUGUUAUUCAUCUUUAAUAGGUUUAAAGGGUACUUAGACGGUGGAUUAAGCCCCUAAAGGGAACUAAGAAACUAGAGUUUGAUGUAAGGAAGUAUUAAAGUACUGUUGGUGUAGAGAUGAAAUUCUAUCAUACCAAAUAUGGCACAGGUUUAGGCGAAAGCAUCUUCUUAUGUAAUAACUGACGUUGAAGGACGAAGGCUUUGUGUCGCGAACAGGAUUAGGUACCCCAGUAGUCUAAGCAGAAAAUGAUGAAUGUCAUAGGUUAGAUAUUUUUUUAGUCUAUAAAUGAAAGUGUAAGCAUUCCACCUCAAGAGUAAUUUGGCAACAUUGGAACUGAAAUCAUUAGACCGUUUCUGAAACCAGUAGUGAAGUAUGUUGUUUAAUUAGAUUAUCCCGCCAAAAACCUUACCACAAUUUGAAUUGUUAUGCUAUUUUACAAUAACAAGCGCUGCACGGCUGUCUUCAGUUAAUGUCGUGAGAUUUUGGUUAGUUCCAUUAAAUU